rnacentral:lncRNA from 1 species
UUUUAAAAAAGAGAGUUGAAGCAGCUGGUCUCUAAAACCCACUUAGGUUCUAACGUGAUGACUCUGGACACAUCUAACUUACACGCUUUCUCUUGUAAUUCAGGCUAAGACUGCACAAGCUGUUUUUUGGCAGAUACAUCACAUUGCUGACCUAAUAUUAUGAGGAAAGAAGAGGCAAGCCACUACUUUCAAAGACUGUAAAUGUAGAGAUCAUCCAGGUCUAAUCAUGACUAGCAAGAGACUACAGGAGGAGUGAGGGGGGAAGAAAGCCAGAGUAUAAAGAUGGGAAAACCAAGGCUCAGAGAGGUAAAACAACUUGCCACAGAAUGCACAACCAGGAAGUGGAGGAGACAGGAUUCAAACUCCCCACGUGGCGCACACCAAAGCCCAUUCUCUGAUGGUCACGAUUUUAGAACUCAAGUGAAAAUCGAGAUGGGGAAGAAGCUAAAGCCUAAAAACUGA